AAAAGAGUUGAGAAUUACUUAAGGCUAUCUAGGUGCUGCAAGGGCAGCACAAGGACAUCUGCCAUUGCCCUGCAAUGCAAGGCUUAUAGAGAAUUCAGAACUGCCAUUGACUCAGAUAUAAAAAGAGUGAAAGACUUUUUAGCUGACCUCCAAGAAUACCUAACCUCCCUCUCAGAGGUAGUCCUUCAGAAUAGGAGAAGAUUAGACCUGAUAUUCCUUAAAGAAGGAACCUGUGUGCUACACUGAAAGAAUGUUGCUUCUAUGCAGACCAUUCAGGAGUAAUUAAAGACUCCAUGAAUAAACUUAGAGAAAGGUUAGACAAAAGACAGAGAAGCGUAUCAGGGAUGGUUCGAGAGCUGGUUUAGUAGAUCUCCUUGGAUGACUACCCUGACAUCUUCCCUUAUCCUUCUUAAUUUUGCUUCUGCUUCUGAUUAUAGGUCCAUGUGUGUUAGAGAAACUAGUUAAUAGGUUUGACUCCUACAAAAAGAUAGAGACGCUCAACAAGGUUAGUUUGAGUCUUGGUUCACUCGGUCUCCCUGGAUGACUACCCUACUCUCUGCUAUAUGGCUGGGCCAUUACUAAUAAUUUUCUUGGUUUUAGUUUUUGGACCCUACGUGACAAACAGGUUAAUUGCUUUUGUUAAAAAUCGAGUGGGUGCUGUGUGGUUGAUGGUUCUGAGACAACAGUACCAGUCAGUUAGGACAACUGGUGAGACCAAAUACGAGACUAGAUAUCAAAAUUCUAAGAUUAGAAUUAUUUAGUAGAAGGAGAAGGGAAUGAAAGGAGAAUUAUACGAAUUCUAGGUUUGGAGAUACAAAAUUAAAAGAAUAAACCCCAAAAGGCCACA
rnacentral:lncRNA from 1 species